rnacentral:hammerhead_ribozyme from 1 species
AUCCAGCUGAUGAGUCCCAAAUAGGACAAAACGCACGUCGUGGAU